GGACCGUGCGGUUUACAUCUGCCUCAUAAGAAGAGGACAUACAAUACAAAUACCUAGCUUCGGCAAAAACGCUUCAAUAGCAGACCCAGCACGAGUCAAAAACGUUUGUUCUUAGUUGUUUAACUGUGCGUCGUCAAGUUUACGAACAAUCUUCCGAAAAAUCUCGCGGUGGUUUCGGUGGCAGAGAAACUGAUUCAUAGUAGAAAGCUUACAAUCAACAAAUCCAACACUGUACCGAGCAGUUCCGUAAACUGGAACACCAGCCAUCAGCCUGUGAUUUCGACCGUUUUCUUCGACUUUAAGUCGUACAACAACAGUGACUUCUGUUCACCUAUCAUAAUCUUCAGAACAUCGUCAACAUGGGAGACACUGGAAGCAAGCACCACUCUGAGUACGGGUACAACUCGUCUGGAUGCGACCCAACACAGUCAGGGGAUUUGGGAAAAUGUUGCCGUUGCUUGAUGAUGGCAAUCGUUGUAGCGCUUGUUGUUUUGGGCAUUGUAGCUGUCAUUGUUCUUUUUGCGACUGGAACAAUUCCUUAAGAUUCAACAAUGAAGGCAGAUUCGACGCUUCUGUAUCCAUGACGUAGCCAAGACCAUCCACUUCGAACUUGGGAAUGAUCACAAUUUAAAACAACCCCUGAUGAUGUGAUUGAAAACGUCGAACUUUGACUUUGAAACAAGCAAGUUGAAUGAAACUGUAAUGUACCAUCUAUAAGAAUGGGAAAUGGAGAUCAGGAGUGCGUUUUGGCGGCCCCAAUCCAAGCCCUACUGAGUCAAAAGUCGGUUACUGAUUGGUGUAAACAGCAUCGUCGCCGCGGUUCAACCAAACACCGAUGACCAAAGAUCAAACAUGAUUCUGGUAAGGGUCGCCAAAACACACUCUUGAUGUUGCCUAAACAAAGACAGUCAAAUAGGGUCUCACACUUAAGCCGUUUGGGUCCAUCUUAAUAAAGCUGUUAACCAGAAAUUUCCUUCUCAGCGAUUUGUUUUCCUAAACUAAGCAACAACUUUGUGGGACACCAGUCACCACAAUGUAAACUGAAUGUUAAUUUGGAUUGUUACUAUUUUAUUAUAAGCCAUUUUCUUAGCUUGGCAACUGUUUGUUCUUACAGGCAUAUGAAAUGGGGCCUUUUAUUGACUUUAGCUAUGGAGUUCAAAGUUCAUGGAAGCUGUGGGGCAUGCGGGACAUGCAGUGUUCUUGUUUCACUUUGUAUUGUACUUAUUUUGACUGAGAAAUAUGUUAAUACAUGUUGUUAAAAUGUUAAUGUUUACCAUUAUGUCACUAAAUGGUCACAAUCAGCACUCUGUAAUCGAUAGUACUGUUAAAAUACCUUUUUUCAAAGUGAGUGCCGAAAAAAGACGCUGUGCGUAAUAUCUCAACGAAAAGUGGUAUGUUCAUCGGUACUGGUUAUAGAAACACACCUCACAUGUAGUUAAAGCAUUUCAACUUGAAAACAAACAAUUAGGAAAAAUAUUUGUAAUAUUAAUUGUUUUAGUUAUUAUUAUCUAUUCCUGUUAUUGUUUAAAAUGAGUGUUAAUUACUACUAGUUCCACCAAAAAACACCCCGUGAAAACACAACAAUUUUUGACAGCAUCUUAGAUUUUGGUUAAGAAUUCUGAUUUAUAAGAACGAGGUUUGGGGAAAUGUAAUGAUUGUAUUUAUACCAAUUACUUAAUUACAUGUACUAUUCAUUACGUUGAUUGCAGAUUAUAAAGUUGUUGAUUCAUUUUG